rnacentral:rRNA from 1 species
UACGUAGGGUGCAAGCGUUGUCCGGAAUUAUUGGGCGUAAAGAGCUUGUAGGCGGUUUGUCGCGUCUGCUGUGAAAUUUCGGGGCUCAACCCCGAACUUGCAGUGGGUACGGGCAGACUAGAGUGUGGUAGGGGAGACUGGAAUUCCUGGUGUAGCGGUGAAAUGCGCAGAGUAUCAGGAGGAACACCGGUGGCGAAGGCGGGUCUCUGGGCCGAUACUGACGCUGAGGAGCGAAAGCGUGGGGAGCGAACAGG